rnacentral:ncRNA from 1 species
CACAGGUUUGGUCCCAGCCUUCCUAUUGAUUCUUAAUAAACUUACACAUGCAAGCAUCCACGCCCCGGUGAAAAUGCCCUCCGAGUCAACAGAACCAAGAGGAGCAGGUAUCAAGCACACACUUUGUAGCUCAUAACACCUUGCUUAACCACACCCCCACGGGAAACAGCAGUGAUAGAAAUUAAGCCAUAAACGAAAGUUUGACUAAGUUAUAUUAAUUAGGGUUGGUAAAUCUCGUGCCAGCCACCGCGGUCAUACGAUUAACCCAAGUUAAUAGGAAUACGGCGUAAAGCGUGUUAAAGCCCUCUACCAAAUAGAGUUAAAUUUUAAUUAAGCUGUAAAAAGCCAUAAUUAUAACAAAAAUAAAUGACGAAAGUAACUCUAUAACCGCUGAUACACUAUAGCUAAGACCCAAACUGGGAUUAGAUACCCCACUAUGCUUAGCCCUAAACACAAAUAAUUAUACAACAAAAUUAUUCGCCAGAGUACUACCAGCAACAGCUUAAAACUCAAAGGACUUGGCGGUGCUUCACACCCUUCUAGAGGAGCCUGUUCUAUAAUCGAUAAACCCCGAUAAACCUUACCAAUCCUUGCUAAUACAGUCUAUAUACCGCCAUCUUCAGCAAACCCUAAAAAGGAACAAAAGUAAGCACAAUCAUAAUACACAAAAACGUUAGGUCAAGGUGUAACCUAUGGAAUGGGAAGAAAUGGGCUACAUUUUCUAUCUCAAGAAAACUCAUAUACGAAAGUUAUUAUGAAACUAAUAACCAAAGGAGGAUUUAGUAGUAAACUAAGAAUAGAGUGCUUAGUUGAAUUAGGCCAUGAAGCACGCACACACCGCCCGUCACCCUCCUCAAAUAAACAUGAUGCACCAAAACAUAUUUAAACACAUUAACUACAUGAGAGGAGACAAGUCGUAACAAGGUAAGCAUACUGGAAAGUGUGCUUGGACAAAU